GGAGAGGUCGCAUAGUGGACUAGUGCGGCUGUCUUGAAAACAGCUGUGGGUGCAAGCCUACCGCGAGUUCGAAUCUCGCCCUCUCCG
rnacentral:tRNA from 1 species